rnacentral:rRNA from 1 species
CCUACGGGAGGCAGCAGUGGGGAAUAUUGGACAAUGGGCGCAAGCCUGAUCCAGCAAUGCCGCGUGUGUGAAGAAGGCCUUAGGGUUGUAAAGCACUUUCAGCGAGGAGGAAAGGUUGUUAGUUAAUACCUGACAACUGUGACGUUACUCGCAGAAGAAGCACCGGCUAACUCCGUGCCAGCAGCCGCGGUAAU